UGGCUUUGUUGGUCUUCUUCUUCCUCCUCCUCCUCCUCCUCUGCCUCCUCCUCCUCUUCUUCUUCCUCCUCCUUCUCUUCCUCCUCCUCCUCCCCCUCUUAUUCUUAUUCUUCUUCCUCUUAUUUUUAUUCCAUGGAUUUCUGCUCUUAUAUGUAUUUUCUAUUUUCUCUCUUGUACAGCUAUUCUGUUACUAGUUUUUGAGUUGGAAACUUAGAUGACUGGUUUUUAGCCUUUCUUCUUUCCUAACAUAUGCAUUCCAGGCUCUACAUUCCCCUCGAAAUGCUGCUUGAGCUGAAUUAUUACCAGUCGGGUCCUUCUCCUGCCCACGUGAAGGAAGAAGGCGCAGUGGGGCUGAGGCCUCACUAGGGCACCCACACGGAGCGCUGCGCUCAGCCUUCUGGACCCGGUACCUCCCCAGGCUCUGAGGACAGCAGCAGCCCCAGGACGGACGGAGUUCUUCGGGCUGGGAAGUCCAAGAUCAAGGCACUACCAUGUGAUGCAGGCAGAAGGUGGAAGGACAAAAGGGAAGAAACCUCAUGUCCCCACAUGGUGGAAAAGCAGAAGUGCAAGAGAGAACCAGGAUCUUACUUUGUCACCCAGGCUGGAAUGCAGUGGCCCAAUCAUGGCUUACUGCAGCCUCGACCUCCUGCACUCAAGCGAUCCUCCCACCUCAGCGUCUGGAGUAGCUGGGACCACAGGCGUGUGCCAUCACACCUUACAAAUUUUUGUGUAUUUUGUACAGAUGGGGCUUCACCAUGUUGCUCAGGCUGGUCUCAAACUCCUGGGCUAAAACAAUCUGUCUGCCUCAGCCUUCCAAAGUGCUGAGAUUACAGGCAUGAGCCACAGUGCCUGGCCAAAGUAUUUCUUUAUACAUGUGUCUUUAUGUGUAUGAUUAUUUAUAUACCUAUAUAUAUAAUACUGACAACUGUUAAAGAUACCAAAAAGCACAAAGACGAGUAAAAAGAGUGAAUAUAACACAACAAAUGCCAACUCAGAGAGAACAAGUGUUAACAUUUUGUCCUGCUUGUUUCCAGGGUUUUAAAAAACUAAGUAAAUAAAACAUUCAAAUUCUUCUGAUCCCA
rnacentral:lncRNA from 1 species